UGCUCUAUAUUAUUUAUGCGUCGUCAAAAUGUCGCUUUCUGUUUUGGUAUCGUCUUGCACUAAAGGAAAUCAAUUUUAAUAAGUUAUCCAUGAUUUUUCUACUAAUAAGUGUUAUUUGUACUAAAACAAACUGGAAUUGAUAUCACUACAUACAACGGUACUCUAGUAGCCAUGAAUACCGCGGCGCCAACGUCUGCAGAUGCCUGUCUGAGCAUCGUGCACUCCUUGAUGUGCCACCGCCAAGGCGGCGAGAGUGAGGGGUUCUCUAAACGUGCCAUAGAAUCACUUGUCAAGAAGCUGAAAGAGAAGCGAGAUGAACUUGAUUCUUUGAUCACGGCUAUAACUACAAACGGAGCACAUCCCAGCAAAUGUGUAACUAUACAGCGGACUUUAGAUGGUCGUUUGCAGGUAGCUGGACGCAAAGGUUUCCCACAUGUGAUCUAUGCACGCAUCUGGCGUUGGCCUGAUCUUCACAAAAACGAACUGAAGCAUGUGAAAUUUUGUCAGUUUGCAUUUGACCUCAAAUGUGACUCAGUUUGUGUCAAUCCAUACCAUUAUGAAAGGGUUGUCUCACCAGGCAUUGAUCUUUCCGGUUUAACACUUCAGUCUGGUCCGAGUAGAUUGGUAAAAGAUGAAUACACCGCAGGCAUCAGUGGCAACGGAAUGGACAUGGAUACCGGGGAACUGGUGACCAUCCAGCACCAUGCCACCAGUCCUCGCCACCACCACUCCACUAUACCACAUCAUCAUCAGCAGUUCCAGACCACAAAUAUUAUUAUUAACCAGGGACAAACGCCAGAUGGCGUCCCGAAUAUAUUUUCGCCGACGCACGGCCCGCGGACGCCCAUCCGGCCCCCCGGGGCCCCGCCUCAGAUGGGGCAAAUGGGGCACUCGCCCGGUGCUCCCCAGAUGAUUUCACAUCCAAACGCUGGUCAGAUGCCCACACCACAGAUGGUCCAAGGCAAUCAGAUGGGGCCAGGGACUCCUCAAAUGGGGCCGGGUACGCCUCAGAUGGGGCCGGGUACGCCUCAAAUGGGGCCGGGUACUCCUCAAAUGGGGACAAACGUGCCUCAAAUGGCUUCGCCGCGAAUGGCGUCGGCGCCAACUCAGAUGUCGCCGGGGACGCCCCAAAUGCCGAGCAUAAGUCAAGCGAUGUCGAUGCCUAGUCCCCAGCAGAUGGCCAUGGCCCAGCAGCGGGUCAUAGCCCCGAAAAUAGAGCCACCAGACACGAUGGAUGCUCGAGCGAUGUGGCUGCCAAAAAGAAUGAACCAUUACCUUUCAGCGGCGCUGCCGGUUAGUAUGUCUCCCGGGGGCACGACCCCGAUCAUAGACGGAACCACCACAACCUUCUUCACGACUGAACAGACCACUACAGAUACUCAACUGACACAGACAAUACCAGUGGGAACCGUAGCAGUGUCCCCAGUGGCAGCGGAGACGUCGCAGCAGAACGGCUUCGCCGCGUCGAGCAGCCCGGCGCCGCAGCCCAGCCCGCUGCCGCACCGCACGCCGCAGACGCAGCAGCAGCAGCAGCAGCAGCAGCAACAGCAGCAGCAGCAGCAGCAACAGCAGCAGCAGCAAGGCACGUGGACGGGCAACAACACGCUGACGUACACGCAGAGUCUGGCGCCGCCGCCCGCCGCGCCGCCCGCGCCGAUUGACGCGCCGCCGCACCACCACCACUAUUACAAUGGCAACCCUGGCGGUUUGCUCUCCAGCCAGCCAGCGCCCGAAUACUGGUGCUCCGUCGCCUACUUCGAACUGGAUACGCAAGUCGGGGAGACCUUCAAAGUACCCUCCAGCAGGCCUAAUGUCACUGUGGAUGGCUACGUGGAUCCUUCAGGCGGUAACAGGUUCUGUCUAGGCGCGCUCAGCAAUGUCCACAGAACAGAACAGAGUGAGCGGGCGAGACUGCACAUCGGCAAAGGCGUUCAGCUAGACUUACGCGGCGAGGGCGAUGUGUGGCUUCGGUGCCUUUCAGACCACUCAGUCUUCGUGCAGUCCUACUAUCUAGACCGCGAAGCAGGCCGCGCGCCAGGCGACGCUGUGCAUAAGAUAUACCCUUCUGCUUGCAUUAAGGUGUUCGACCUUCGUCAGUGCCACCGGCAGAUGCAGACGCAAGCUGCGACCGCGCAGGCCGCCGCCGCCGCACAGGCCGCCGCUGUCGCCGGGCACAUACAGCCGCAGCACCCCUCCAUGAACAAGUGUCUCACAGCAGCGGCCGGUAUCGGCGUGGAUGAUCUCCGGCGGCUGUGCAUAGUGCGGCUGUCCUUCGUCAAGGGCUGGGGGCCCGACUACCCGCGCACGUCCAUCAAGGAGACGCCCUGCUGGGUGGAAGUGCACCUGCACAGGUCAGUGACACCAGCAGCAGGUCUGACGCACAGCAGCGGCGGGUAUCGGCGCUGUGCAUAGUGCGGCUGUCCUUCGUCAAGGGCUGGGGGCCAUCCAUCAAGGAGACGCCCUGCUGGGUGGAAGUGCACCUCCACAGGUCAGUGACACCAGCAGCAGGUGUAACGCACAGCAGCGGCGGGUAUCGGCGCUGUGCGUAGUGCGGCUGUCCUUCGUCAAGGGCUGGGGGCCCGACUACCCGCGCACGUCCAUCAAGGAGACGCCCUGCUGGGUGGAAGUGCACCUGCACAGAGCUCUCCAGCUGCUGGAUGAGGUGCUCCACACAAUGCCAAUCGACGGGCCACGCAACAACAUCGAGUAGGAGUUGAUCGGCUUCUUUUGAGGCCUUGAGCGGACAGACGGAAAUGUGCGUUGUUUCACAGUGAUUGUGCAAGUGAUGUGAUUGACAAUGAUGCGAACAGUGAUUAGCAGUGAGAUCGGGUUUCAGUGAACAAUGUUUUACAGAACAAACGAAGUACAAAUCUGUGGGACUUAUUUUGUGAACAGAUUAGUGUUACUUCGAACGAUGUUGUCCGUUACAUUUGUUAUUUGUUUCUGAAAUUAAUAGAAACUCGAACUUGCUUGGAAGUGGGAAUUUUUAAGGGAGUCUUGUAAAUUCAGUCAUUAUUAUAUUAGCUUUCCUAUUUUCAACAUUGAUAUUAUUUUAUAAAUUGAUAUUAUUUAUUUAAAAUAUCUGAAACAUGUUGAAAAUAUAGUAGAUUUCUUCAUUGAUUCUUUAUAAAUUUUUGAGGAUGAUUUAAAAAAUCCCCUUUUUCAAAAAUGUGCCUAAACGGUUGCCAUAUGAGUAGCAUUUAUUAAAUUAUGUUUUAUCAAGUUAUUAUUUACAUUCAAAAUUAUGAAUUGGCUUUGUCUUCCAAAAUUUUAUUUCGUCUUCCUUUAUAAAAUUGUAUUGUGAUUUCUCAGUUGAGUUUUGGAUUGUGUGUGUUGGAUUGGACAUUGAAACAAAACGCACAUUGAAAAUAAUGAUGUGAUCGCUCGUUUAAAAAAGGUGAACUUUAAUUUAUGUCUUGUAUAUUUGUUCUAAGUAGAUUCACUAAGUUAAAUAUAACAUAUUAUAUGACAGUAUUUCGACAGAACAAACUAAAGAACAUAUAAAGAGAUCUCACUAUAAUAUUUUUCACAAAAUGUUUAAUGUGUAAGAUAUAGUGUAUUGUAAAUAGGAGCACACGAUUGCAGAUUGCUCAAAGGUCAGUCCAUCGUUGUUCUUAGUAAUGUUAAGGUGCAUGCUCACUGAUUGCACUCGUGUGUAAUAAGCGUUCGACAUUUUAUAUUCAUACUAGCGGCCCGCCUCGGCUUCGCACGGUUGGAAUGGAUUUUCCCGGCUUUUCUCUUCUUUAUUAUACAUGUUUUAUACUUAUAAACCUUAAUCUUGAGUCACUCUAUCUAUUAAAAUCAUCAAUAUCCGUUGCGUAGUUCUAAAGAUCUAACAGACAGACGGCGGAAAGCGACUUAUGUAUGUAGUGAUUAUUAUUGUAAGCCGAGCAUAUUUGCCUGUGAGUGCGCACUGUAAUAAAGUCAAUUGCUCACGAAUGCGUUUUAGGCUCGCUUUUUGAGUUAAAUGUUGAUUGCUUACAAAUGAGUGCGCGCAGUGAUCGCGCAGCAUACGAAUUUUAGUGACAGCGAUACCAAAAUAAGGCAUUUUGUACUAAAGUAGUUUAAAAAACAAGACAUAAUUAUGGUUCAACUUGAAAGAAGCCAAAUGGAUAAGCUUUGUAGCUUAAUUAAUUAGCGUUACGUCGUAAUGUAGCGUAAGUAAUUUAUGUGUUGUGAGCGGCGGGCGCGCGGGGGUGAGGCUGUAAGUUUGUUAGCUUGAUGUGCCUGAUUGGUGAAAUUGCAUGGAUUCAUAAGUCUCUUAACCAACAGUCAUUAAUUUUGGACCUUAAGAUAAGGAAAUAAGGUCCAAAAUAUGGUGGAAACUAUAUUCCCACUUAAAGGGUUAAAUUGUAUAUUAAAAUUGAUACUGAAUGAGUGGGACAGCCCCCUGAACUGAUGAAUUGACGUCCAAUAGUUGACAGGCAGCUUUAUGUAGAACAGUAGUUUUUUUAUUGAUCACAAAACUAAUUAAUCUGGAAACGGGAUGAAUUGCAACUAAGUCAAUGGUCAUAAUGUUGCAAUGUCAAAUAAAUGACUAAAGUGUAAAGUCCAUGCAAUUUGCUAAAUUGUUUAAGAUGAUCUGUGAUGUGCUAACAAAAUAUGUUUAUAAAAUAAGAUGAGCGCGCCCGCAUUCAGUCCAGGCCAUUCACCCACGGGUGGGCUCUGGAAACGUCUAGGUUAAGGAUAAAAUGACAUAUUUUGUGUACGAAAAUCGUAAACGGUUUUAAUGUAAUUCUUACGUAGUUCUAAGAUAGUGUUUGUGGAUUUAUGAAUUGGAAUUUCCCAACAACUUUUACAUUGCUUACGUUUGUUUAAAGUAAAGAUGUAAGUGUGUGAUACUUAAAGUUGCAAGAGAAAUUCGUGUUCUACGUAAUUGAGAUUUUUUUGUAGUUCGCUAAGUUUUGCUUUAAUUAUUAUUACUUGGCAGAUUAUGAUACUAUUAUCUUGCGUUAAAACAUUUUAUAUUACUGUUAGUGAAAGUUAGCGUUUUCGAUUUUUUAUUAUUAAUUAUUUUUAUUGUAAAAUACGUAACAACUAUUGUCUAUGACAAAAAAUGUGAACUAAUCGGUUUCGAGCGAGAGGGUUUAUAAAUGUGUGUAUUAUUAUUGUUUUUGUAAACUUGAUUUAUUUCGAUUUUAUCUGUGUGAGUUUUGCGUUGUGGACGAACGAACAUCACAUGUUUUUAUUUUUGUUAUCGAUAUGUAAUUUAGUUUAUGCAUCUGAAUUUUACAAUUUACAAUUAUUUGAUUGUUACCAAUGACCAUUAAACAUUCGGACUGUGCGAGUUUUGUAAAUAGUACAAUUUAUUGAGAAUAUUUUUUAAUAUAACAAAAAUCUUGUCGGUCGGUCGCCGGCUUAUUUAAUACAGGCGUUCGCGACUCGGUACUUAGAAAUUAUAUUCGUAAAUUCUCUUUAGUAAGCUUUCACAAAAUUUGUGUAUCAAAAAUACCUCUUUUAUAGUGAUCAAAAGGAUUCAAAGGGUUUUUAGAUGAUAUUAAUAAUAUGUGGUAAGUUUUUUAAUGAUGUUGAAGUUUUGAAUGAUAUUGUCAAAUUCUACAUGCCACAGUUAUCCUACAGAGCUGUUUGGAAUCUCUCACGAGUUUAUGGUAACCAUGUCUUACAGUUGUUUGGAGAUAUACCGAAGUUAUCCAAAGUUGAUGUGGGUUGUUGUUCAUGUGAACGUGUUGUCGCUUUUGUACAUACGGGCUGUCGCGGCAGUGCGACAGAGAUAGCUGAAUCUGACUGGGUGUGGGUGACUAGUGGCUACGUUUAUACAACAAAAGUGAAAAGAGAAACAGUUGGCAGAUUUUCUUCACAAAGUUUUGGAAAAUGUACCUAAUAAAUGCAUACUCAUUUUUAUUGUCUAAACGUAGCUUUUAUUCUUCUAGCAAACGCAGUUUGGCCAUCAAAAUGUUAAUUACAUGAUGCAUUAUUAUAAAAAUAAUGUUGCACCCAUUAUGAGAAUGUACUGUACCUUUUAAUAAAUACAUAACUCACAUUUAGUUAAUUUUAGAAUUUGUUCAGAUUGUCGUUUUAUAAAUAGUUGUUAGUACCCGAGAGUCAAUGUUACGAAUUAUUGUGAACAUCUCUAACGAAGUGCAAAUUAUACAAAUUACAGACUAUUACAAAUAUGCAAGCUAUGGUUCAAAACAUGUUCCUCAUAUUAACUGCACGAAUAAAAGAAUCUAUUCAAUGGAAUUGCAAAAAAAAAUGUUUGGUAUGAGUAAUGUUUGUAGACAAUGUAGACUGCGGUCAUUAAAAUGGUCUUGUUAUGCAAAUUUUACAUACGAAAAAAUCACGCAAAUAUACUGUUCUUGUAUAUUUUUUAAUGUAACUAGCGGCCUGCCCCGGAUUCGCACGGUUGCAAUGGAAUUUCCCGGCUAUUCUCUUCUAUAAUAUGCAUGUUUAAUACCUAUGAAUAAACCUACCUCUUGACUCACUCUAUUUAAAAAAAACGUAUCAAAAUCCGUUGCGUAUUUCUAAAGAAGCAUACAUAGGGACAGACAGCGGAAAGCGACUUUGUUUUAUAUUAUCUCUGUAGGUACAUAAAAAAUGUAGUUGACGCGUUGUAUACGCAAUUUUGAUUUAAAUAAUUUGUACCAUUUUAUGCACCACAGUCUAUUUUUGUAAUAAGUACAUAAACACUUGUAUCCGUUUAAAAGUUGUACUUUAGGAGUUGAUGUGUUUGUCUGGUUGUUUCAAUACAAUAUUUUCAUCAUGGGGGCGCCGUGUGCAUUUGCCCUAAGAUUAUAGUUAAGAUUGAA